GCAGUGCGUGGCCGAAUGGUUACGCUGUCCGCUUUGUGAGCGGAUGAUUCUGGGUUCGAUUCCCUUCUGCUGCA
rnacentral:tRNA from 1 species